rfam:Streptomyces nodosus strain ATCC 14899 genome.
GCGAGACACGUGGGCCGGUGGCCGAGUGCGACCGAUAAACUGUUCUCCGGACGACCCCGGGCGCAGCCCCCGUCCCGUCCGCCAAUGAUCAGCCAGCAGCCGCUGCAACCCCAGGGAG